ACACGGCAGAGGUAAGCGGAAGAUCGGCAAUUCGAGUUCAGUACACGUUCGUCGUUCAUUGCGAGCGUAUCUCGUGGAUUUUGUCGAGAUGAUCUGAAAAUUUUAAAGAAUUAGAAAAGAAAGUAAUUAAAUAUUUCCUGUGUUUAUCCUAUAAUUUUUUUUUCUUCUUCUUAAAUAUUAGAAUUUUUUUGAAUAAUAGAAAAUGGCGCCAACAACGAGAAAACCGUUGAUACCAAGCAACGAUGCAUACGAGCCACCAGCAGCAAUUCAAAACGCGAUGCUGACUAAAGACAAGAAGCCCUUCACGUACACGCCUGGAAUGGGCGGGAAACUGGACCUUUCCCAAAUUCGAAGCCCUCGAAUGGCGCGCAGGGUAGCAAAAAACGCCAAUGAUGAGGGAAUCGAAGGUCCUCCGAAGUCAGCACUUGAAUCGAAGCCGACACCAGCGCCCAAUACAACGAAUUUAUUCAUUCAACCUCAAGUAGCGAUACCUGUCUUCCCGACCAAUAUUCCGGCUCAACCCUCGGUCAACAGGACACCUUCCACACCACCUGCUAACAGGAUUCAACCUAGUACUCCAGAAAAGCAACCAGAGUCGCCGAAAGCCAAAGUAGAGACCAAAGUAAUCCCCACAAUCGCAGUUCAGCCGAAUACUCCUGAGAGUCCAAGCACUCCAACCCAAGUGACUUUGACAAAGGCACCAACACCGUGGCUCCAGAACAAGAAUAAACCACAAGAAGAAUUACCUGAGUGGGCAAAACGAUCUAGCGUGAAUAAACAAAGCUCAGUUGAGAGUCCAACAUCACCUCCAGUUUCCUCAUCUUUGAUUCAACAACCUCAAUCACCUCAAUGGCAACAAACUCAGCAGAGGCAGCAACCAGUUCAACAAAGGCCUCAAUCUCUGCCACAAAUUCAACAAAGACCGGUGCAGAUUCAGCAACAAUCUCAACAAUACCAGUACCAACAACCUCAGGGUCAACAAUUCAAUCAGCAACAGAAACGUCCUUUCUCUGGUCCUCCUGUAACACAACAGACUAAUCCUCAGACUCAGCAUCAAGAACGUGUGAUACCUAUUCGAAUUGAAGAUAGGCCGUCUGUUUUCGACGUGAAACCGGAACCUGGCCAUCAUCAGUUCAAGCAAUCGAGUCCGCACCAACAGAGAUGGGGUCAGCCAACUGUUCAGAAUCAGAGUCAAGUACGGAAUCAGAUGCAGAAUCAGAUGCAGAAUCAAGUGCAGAAUCAAGUGCAGAAUCCAGUGCAGAAUCAGAUGCAGUCUCAAUCGACAGGUGGCGCGUACAUUAUACCUAUCAUGAUUGAAGGAAAUGAUAAGAAGACUGGUUCAGCAAUUACUUCGAAUACUUACUCGCAACCGAUUGUCAGGAAUAAUGUGCCUAAUACUGAGAAUCAGAACACGAGAGUAGCGAGCCAACGUAUUAUACCUGUACAAGUCCAACAGUCGGAUUCCGUUCCGGUUCAGUCUCGAUCCUUUAGAGUUCUUCAGAAGAUCACAGAUACGGACACGGCAAACGAUGUGGACACUGAACAGAUGCGAAAACUUCAAUUAUCGGAGGACGAUAGGAUUUUGAUGAAUAAAUUCAAGGAGCAAAUCGACAACGAAUCUUCUCUCCAUCACGAGGAAGAUCCGAGAUAUCGUGGUGGGGCCAUACCCUCUCGAGCCUUCCGCUUCUUGCAGACUAUGACGGAAUCUGGCGAUGCUCCUGUUGUGAACACGACGCAACGACCACCGUCAGCUAUUAAUAAGAAGCAGAACAGGAAUUCGAAGACUUUUGAAGAAAUGCAAGCAAAUCUACCACCAAGCGAACAGCAAGUUCCAGAGCCAAAGAAAUACAUGGGCAGCGCAAUUCCCUCCAGAUCUUUCAGGAUAUUACAAGCGAUGACAGCGCCGGAAAGUGUCGCCACGCAAGAAAAUCGUCAAGCAGAUUACCACUGCCAAACAGAGAAUAACGUGCCGGGCAAUCAGCAGGGUGUCUUCCUCUCUCCUAGUCCGCCAUUUUGGACCCACGACAGCGGUUGGUGGGGUUAUUAUCCUCUUCUUUAUCCUGGGAUUUCAAAUGAACCUUAUCCAUAUCAUCCUGAUAAUACAGCCUAUAUAUAUUUUCCCAUUUACAAUCAAAACUGUCCAUCUUACCCUCAAUUUGAUUCAACCAAUUGUAAAAAUUCUUAUUCUAAUGUUUAUCCACCUUACAUGGUUCCUGUUUCUUUACAAAAUUGUAAUAAUUUUAAUCACAGUUGUGAUCAAGCCAAUAAUGACAUGGAUGUAUCUAAAAUUCCUCCUAUGAAUAUUCUGGAUAUUCUAGAAAAUAUUCAAGAGAAUAAUGAAUUGGAAAAUAAAGUUUUAAAAGAAAAUAAUAAUGCAAAUUGUCAAGAACAAUGGGAAAAAGGAAAUGAUAUGGCCAGAACUGCUAGUAAUAAUAGCAGAGAUAGUGACUGUACUACUGCAAUGAAUAUCACUGAUGAAGAAGAAUUUCCUGAUGAAAUAAUUGCAUCAGAGGAAAAUAAGAAUGAUCAGCAGUCUGAAAAAUCAGAAAUUAAAUCUUGUCCCAAUGGAAGUCUCAAUGUGAAUGUUCCAAAUUAUACUUACAUUGAUACUAGUGAUUCUAGUGAUUCUAGUGAUUCUACUGAUUCUAAUAAUUCUACAGAUUCUGAAUCACAAUCUGACAAUGAAUCCAUUAUUGAAUCAUCUAAAAGUGACAAUAAUUCUGAUGAUUCUUCUUCUGAUAGUGAUGAUUCUGAUUCUUAUUUGGCCUAUUCCACUGGGCUGAAUCCUCAUGGAAGAUUGGAUAAAAAUGACAAUGAGAGAAAUUCAAUGAGAGAUUAUUCCAAUAAAGAAUAUUAUAAUGAAGAUCAAGAAGCAUCUUCCAAAAACAAUACUGAUUCUGAAUCAGAUAUGGAAGAACAAAUGGAAAAGAAAGAAAAAACAGAUACCAAUACAUUUCCUCAUAAAUUAAGUGUAAUUUAUGAAGAUAUUGAACGUCCAGACUCUGAAAGUCCUAGACCACAAAUUAAAAAUGUUAAAGAUUGGAAUAAGACACCUUUUGAAGCUACUGAUGAUCCUCCUGAUGACUCUGAUGCACCUACUGUCAGCGUGAGUUUGCCACUGAGGUUCAAAUUUUCUGUAUCUGAAAAUAAUGAGGAUGUGACUACUGUAAUUGUUGGAGAUAGUACUAUUAAGCCUGAUAGAGAUUAUAAUAAAGAAGAAAAAGAAAAGAAGAAGAAAUUAGAAAUUCAAGAAAAUAAUAAUCAUUUAGAGAAGAUCAAUGAUGUAUCUGCGAAUUUUCUGAUAAAAAAUAAUACCAAUGUAAAUUUCACUGUUAAGAAAGAGGUUAAGAAAGAAAAUUUCGAUGACAAGCGAAAGGAAAAGAAUCAUUCUAGAAUAAAAGAAGAUGAAGAUCCUGUUGUACCUCACGUGAACUUUACUUUAAGAAAAAUUCCAACUAGAUUUAAUAAAAUUAAUUUCGAAGAGACAGUAGAAACGGAGUUCACAAUUAAAAGAAAGUCUAGUGUGAAGAAAGAGGAAGAUAAAACGAUCAAGGCUCAAGAAGAACACUUAAACAGUACCAACGUGAAAAACAAUGAUUCAGUUGGUAAAGAAUCUUUGAACAAAGAGAAUAACACUGCUUAUAUUACAAGAAUAAAAGAAACCAAUUUAGAAACUCACGAUAUUAAUAGAAAUAUUUUAAAACCGGAAGUGAUCGUUUCAGAGUGCAAGUGGACAGACGAUUCAAAUAAAGAAUAUUCUAAUAAAUUCCAAAAUACAAAUACUAACCUAAAAGAUGAAAUAUCUUUAAAAAACAAUAAUUCUUUAAAGAAGAAUAAAAUCGAAGAAAAUAUCGACGAGAAGGCAGGAAAAGAAUCAAAGCAUCUAUUAAAUGUACAGAAUUCUCGGGAAGAAACAGACGAUGAAGAUAGUGGCGUCACUUCAGACAUGAGUCGUAUGAUUUCAGAAGUAGACACAGAUUCAGAAUGUACUUCCUCUAAAAAUAGAAAAUAUCAAAGAACUCAAACUCAUUCGAGAUUGUUCAGACUUUUGAACGAUGAUUCGAUUCUUCCAGAAGAUACAGAAAAAAUUAACCAAUCUUCAUCAAGAGAAUACUUAAGUCUUCCUCUGAAGAGCAACAAUUUUAAUUACGACGAAAAUUAUUGUUCCAAUUAUUCUAGUGGUGUGACUUCUCCCGAAUAUUCACCCAUCAGUGAACAAUCAUGGAAAAGACUGCAUGAUGCGGAUCAAAAUGGUGAUGUGUAUCGUCGACAAGAUCGAACUUCCUGCAAGGAGGACCCAUAUUAUCAAGCAUGGAAAACGCCUAAAUCUUCAACUUCUGUAUUGGACCAUGAUGUGGUACCAUCAUUAGCCUUCAAGGUACUCGAAAGUCGAAGGCCACCCUGGUCUUACAAAGUGAACGUCCUUUGUCCUAGAAUCAAAAGCACAAAAAGCGUGCCACAGACAUUGAAAACAGGCAAACAAACGAAUUCCACGGUAUCCUCUUCUAAUAAUUCCUCAUCCUUUCAAGCUAACCUGAAAAACGACCAUUGCUGAUGGCCCGGGGCAGAAUGAGGCCGCGUUUGGCCGCGAGCAACCACGGACGAGCCUCGCGCAACUUUUCUCUAGAUUCGCAAGACUGGGCUGACUAUAUGCCCGGGGGGGCUACAGGCUACGUGGUUUUUUUUUCUAUCGGUCCAGAUGCAACGGAUUACUGAGCAAGGACGAGUGCUUCCUUUGGAAACAUGGCAUUGCUAGUGUGUUUUUCUUUUUUUUUUUUAUUUUUUAUUUUGUUUACGAUUCAUAACGAUUCGUUUACACGACGACCAUCGAUACCGUAGGAUAUUUUCCUGAACUUUCCCAUGUCGCCCAUGUAAGGUUUCGUCUUGCCCCCAUUCACUAUCUUCUUUGUUUUAUUUCUUCCUUUUUAUUCCUAAUCCCAUAUGUGUGCACAUUGUUAGGGGAUAAAGAUUCUUAGGAAGAUCGAUCGAUCGUUCAAACGAUUGAUUAAUAAUGUUUAUUAACUAUAUUAAAUCACAUGACCAAUUUUUAACUUUUAAAGAUUGAGAAGAGUUGAAAAAAUAAAUGGUCGUAAUUUCGAUUUUCAUUGUAUGCCAUUUUCGUUCGAGAGGAAAUUUUAUCUAAUUAAGACGCGAGAUGUAUUUUUAUGGAUACCGUCAUGUUACCUUCUAAUCUGUCAUUGUGCUAUAUUUAUGUAAGUUGUGUAAAAUAAAUUAUUUGUAAAGUUCA